rnacentral:rRNA from 1 species
AAAAGAAACUACAAGGAUUCCCCUAGUAACUGCGAGUGAAGCGGGAAAAGCUCAAAUUUAAAAUCUGGCAGUCUUUGGCUGUCCGAGUUGUAAUCUAGAGAAGUAUUAUCCGCGCUGGACCGUGUACAAGUCUCCUGGAAUGGAGCGUCAUAGAGGGUGAGAAUCCCGUCUUUGACACGGACUGCCAGGGCUUUGUGAUGUGCUCUCAAAGAGUCGAGUUGUUUGGGAAUGCAGCUCAAAAUGGGUGGUAAAUUCCAUCUAAAGCUAAAUAUUGGCGAGAGACCGAUAGCGAACAAGUACCGUGAGGGAAAGAUGAAAAGAACUUUGGAAAGAGAGUUAAACAGUACGUGAAAUUGCUGAAAGGGAAACGCUUGAAGUCAGUCGCGUUGGCCAGGGAUCAACCUUGCUUUUUUGCUUGGCUUACUUUCUGGUUGAUGGGUCAGCAUCAAUUUUGACUGGUGGAAAAAGUUCAAGGGAAUGUGGCAUCUUCUGAUGUGUUAUAGCCUUUGUUCGCAUACAUCGGUUGGGAUUGAGGAACUCAGCACGCCGCAAGGCCGGGUUUUUAACCACGUACGUGCUUAGGAUGCUGGCAUAAUGGCUUUAAUCGACCCGUCUUGAAACACGGACCAAGGAGUCUAACAUGCCUGCGAGUGUUUGGGUGAAAAACUCGAGCGCGUAAUGAAAGUGAAAGUUGAGAUCCCUGUCAUGGGGAGCAUUGACGCCCGGAUCUGACCUUUUGUGACGAUUCUGCGGUAGAGCAUGUAUGUUGGGACCCGAAAGAUGGUGAACUAUGCCUGAAUAGGGUGAAGCCAGAGGAAACUCUGGUGGAGGCUCGUAGCGAUUCUGACGUGCAAAUCGAUCGUCAAAUUUGGGUAUAGGGGCGAAAGACUAAUCGAACC